UUUUUUGUUUAAAUGUUUUUUCGCCUAAGGAUGAGUCUGCGGCCGAUUAGGUAGUUGGUUAGGUAAUGGCUUACCAAGCCGGUGAUCGGUACGGGUUGUGAGAGCAAGAGCCCGGAGAUGGAACCUGAGACAAGGUUCCAGGCCCUACGGGGUGCAGCAGGCGCGAAACCUCCGCAAUGUGAGAAAUCGCGACGGGGGGAUCCCAAGUGCCAUUCUUAACGGGAUGGCUUUUCAUUAGUGUAAAGAGCUUUUGGAAUAAGAGCUGGGCAAGACCGGUGCCAGCCGCCGCGGUAACACCGGCAGCUCUAGUGGUAACAAUUUUUAUUGGGCCUAAAGCGUCCGUAGCCGGUUUAAUAAGUCUCUGGUGAAAUCCUGUAGCUUAACUGUGGGAAUUGCUGGAGAUACUAUUAGACUUGAGACCGGGAGAGGUUAGAGGUACUCCCAGGGUAGAGGUGAAAUUCUGUAAUCCUGGGAGGACCGCCUGUUGCGAAGGCGUCUAACUGGAACGGUUCUGACGGUGAGGGACGAAAGUUAGGGGCGCGAACCGGAUUAGAUACCCGGGUAGUCCUAACUGUAAACGAUGCGGACUUGGUGUUGGGGUGGCUUUGAGCUGCUCCAGUGCCGAAGGGAAGCUGUUAAGUCCGCCGCCUGGGAAGUACGGUCGCAAGACUGAAACUUAA
rnacentral:rRNA from 1 species